GCCUUCUUAGUUCAGUGGUAGAGCGUUGGUUUCGUACUCAAAUAAAGUCAACCAAAGGUCGAGAGUUCAAUCCUCUCAGGAGGCA
rnacentral:tRNA from 1 species